CCGGCACGGGUGAGUAACACGUAUGCAAUCCACCUGUAACAGGGGGAGUAACCCGGAGAAAUCCGGACUAAUACCCCAUAAUAUGGGCGCUCCGCAUGGAGAGCCCAUUAAAGAGAGCAAUUUUGGUUACAGACGAGCAUGCGCUCCAUUAGCCAGUUGGCGGGGUAACGGCCCACCAAAGCGACGAUGGACAGGGGUUCUGAGAGGAAGGUCCCCCACAUUGGAACUGAGACACGGUCCAA
rnacentral:rRNA from 1 species